rnacentral:rRNA from 1 species
GGCCGCAAGGCUAAAACUCAAAGGAAUAGACGGGGACUCGCACAAGCGGUGGAUCACGCGGCUUAAUUCGAUGAUACACGAAGAACCUUACCAAGGCUAGAAAUUUAGUUCAUGCUCUACAUUGGAAACAAAUAAGAGAUAUCGGGCUAAACAGGUGCUGCAUGGUCGUCGUCAGUUCGUGGCUUGAGCUGUUCCGUUAAGUCGGGAAACGAACGCAACCCUCAUCGUCUGUUAUACGUGUCAGACGAGACUGCCUCGCCUUAAGUGGUUAAGGUUUGAGGACUUUUUUGAGAAAAAUACUUAUUUUUGAAUUUAUUCAUCUAUUCUAUUUUUCUCAGCAAAGUUCUUAAACUUUGAAGAUUUAAGGCGGGGAGGAAGGUGAGGAUGACGCCAGAUCAGCAUGGCCCUUGAUGCCUUGGGCUGCACGCAUGAUACAAUGCCAUAGACAACGGGUCGCGACGGAGCAAUCCUGAGCUAAUCCUUCAAACUAUGGCCAAGUUCGGAUUGGGGGCUGAAACUCGCCCCCAUGAAGUUGGAAUCGCUAGUAAUCGCAGGUCAGCUAUACUGCGGUGAAUAUGUUCUCGAGUCUUGUACUCACCGCCCGUCAAGUCAAGGGAGUUGGGAGCACCCAAAGGCCGUAUUUAUUACGGACUAAGGUGAAUUCAAUAACAAGGACUAAGUCGUAACAAGGCACGGCUAGCGGAAGCUG